rnacentral:rRNA from 1 species
ACGGGUGAGUAACACGUAUCCAACCUGCCGUCUACUCUUGACAGCCUUCUGAAAGGAAGAUUAAUACAAGAUGGCAUCAUGAGUCCGCAUGUUCACAUGAUUAAAGGUAUUCCGGUAGACGAUGGGGAUGCGUUCCAUUAGAUAGUAGGCGGGGUAACGGCCCACCUAGUCUUCGAUGGAUAGGGGUUCUGAGAGGAAGGUCCCCCACAUUGGAACUGAGACACGGUCCAA